rnacentral:lncRNA from 1 species
GGCCCAGGGAGGCAGCCGGGACUUCUGGUCGGGGCGCAGUCUCUCAGACACAUCGUGACCGAAGGACCGAAGGACGUGCUGGACAUGCCGCUCCCUGACUUGCCAAGUGCUUCCCAGCCUCGGCCCAUUCACAGAGCUCUUCCCCGACCGAGGUGAGCCCCCAGGGGCCCUAGCAGGUGCACCGCGCCUGCAUGCCGGCGGUCUGGGUGUGCAUGGAGCCCUAUGCCCGGUGGGAUGGUGAGCCGUGAGGACCCUUGUGAGAAGCCAGCGAGCCCUGUGUGCCCAGGCCUCUUGCAGGAGGGACUCAGGGCAGAGAACUGCAGGGCCUCAGGGUUCUGCUCCCAUCUCAGUGCGGUGGGACCUGAAACACCCCAAAAGGGAAGGCCCGGUGGAUGAGAGCAGGUGGCCCUGGGGGCACACACCCGGCCGGCCAGCUUUCCCGCCCGCAGGUCUGACCUGGUCUCCUGCUUCCUACCGGGAAGAUUUUGUGAGAAAUCAUGGGAACAGCACGGACCUCACUGAGACUAAGUCCCAAACAAGCCUGGUGUGAUGAGAAGGGCCUCCUUAAAGCACAGGGUCAUGCUUACUUCCCCCCAGUGUCCCAGGCUGUUGUUAUGUUUUCUGAGUCACAGCUACUCAGAGGAUCCACAGGGAACAACUGAGAACACAGCAGCAGGAAUGUACAGGGAAGUGAAAAUACACACACAGAGAGGGAAGUGGCGGCAAGACUGGGAGAAAAGAAGUAGGCGUUCCUACUUAACCGCCUCUCCUGAACUCUGCAGGCCCGAGAGCGUUCCACUCCGUCCUGGAGGCUGGGGUGGAGUGACAGGCUCCCCUCCUACUCUCACUGCAUCACGUGGAGUCACGUCCACUGGUCCUGUUCAUGCUGGCAAAGGCGGGCAGAUUGCUCACCGGCCCCCAGCCGCCCACGCCCCUGGAUCCAUCAGGGCGCGUCUCAGAGCCUGCUAAGUGGAUACAAUCCUGCGUUCUUGGCCCAGGACUUCACCCCGAAAGUGAGCUGAUGACUGAGAGUGGGCUUGUAAUCGUUUUAAACACCAACUGUCUGGAAUCCGAGUGGCACUCUCUGGUCUGGAACCGUCGGUCAGUCAGGAGAAGGAAGGACAGCUCAUCUGAGAUGGUGAAUGUGUUACAUGACUUCCCGCAAACAAAAGAAGCCAAAUUGUGCUAGGCCAGAAAACGGCCCCCAAGUAUAUCAUCCUAAUCCCCAGAAACCUGUGAAUGUUACCUUAUUAAAAAAGAAGAAGAAGAAGGAGAAGGAGAAGGACAAGAAAUGCAGGGCAUUGGCUGGCUCAGUUGGUGGAGUGUGCGACUCUUGAUCUCAGGGUUGAGGAGUCUGAGCCCCAUGUUGGGUGUAGAGAUUUCUCAAAAAAUGAAACCUUUUAAAAAAUAAAAAUAAAUAAAAAUUUUUGAAUAUUUUUUAACAUUUAUUCAUUUUUGAGAAAGGAGACACACACAUGCGCACGCGCGCAC